CUACGGGAGGCACCAGUGGGGAAUAUUGCACAAUGGGCGCAAGCCUGAUGCAGCCAUGCCGCGUGUAUGAAGAAGGCCUUCGGGUUGUAAAGUACUUUCAGCGGGGAGGAAGGGAGUAAAGUUAAUACCUUUGCUCAUUGACGUUACCCGCAGAAGGAGCACCGGCUAACUCCGUGCCAGCAGCCGCGGUAAUACGGAGGGUGCAAGCGUUAAUCGGAAUUACUGGGCGUAAAGCGCACGCAGGCGGUUUGUUAAGUCAGAUGUGAAAUCCCCGGGCUCAACCUGGGAACUGCAUCUGAUACUGGCAAGCUUGAGUCUAGUAGAGGGGGGUAGAAGUCCAGGUGUAGCGGUGAAAUGCGUAGAGAUCUGGAGGAAUACCGGUGGCGAAGGCGGCCCCCUGGACGAAGACUGACGCUCAGGUGCGAAAGCGUGGGGAGCAAACAGGAUUAGAUACCCCCGUAGUC
rnacentral:rRNA from 1 species